CGGACGGGUGAGUAACGCGUGGGUAACCUGCCUCAUACAGGGGGAUAACAGUUAGAAAUGACUGCUAAUACCGCAUAAGCGCACAGGACCGCAUGGUCCGGUGUGAAAAACUCCGGUGGUAUGAGAUGGACCCGCGUCUGAUUAGCUGGUUGGCGGGGUAACGGCCCACCAAGGCGACGAUCAGUAGCCGACCUGAGAGGGUGGCCGGCCACAUUGGGACUGAGACACGGCCCAAACUCCUACGGGAGGCAGCAGUGGGGAAUAUUGCACAAUGGGGGAAACCCUGAUGCAGCAACGCCGCGUGAGUGAAGAAGUAUUUCGGUAUGUAAAGCUCUAUCAGCAGGGAAGAAAAAAGACGGUACCUGACUAAGAAGCCCCGGCUAACUACGUGCCAGCAGCCGCGGUAAUACGUAGGGGGCAAGCGUUAUCCGGAUUUACUGGGUGUAAAGGGAGCGUAGACGGCAUAGCAAGUCUGAAGUGAAAGCCCGUGGCUCAACCGCGGAACUGCUUUGGAAACUGUUAAGCUGGAGUACUGGAGAGGCAAGCGGAAUUCCUAGUGUAGCGGUGAAAUGCGUAGAUAUUAGGAGGAACACCAGUGGCGAAGGCGGCUUGCUGGACAGAGACUGACGUUGAGGCUCGAAAGCGUGGGGAGCAAACAGGAUUAGAUACCCUGGUAGUCCACGCGGUAAACGAUGAAUGCUAGGUGUUGGCGGGCAAAGCCCGUCGGUGCCGCCGCAAACGCAUUAAGCAUUCCACCUGGGGAGUACGUUCGCAAGAAUGAAACUCAAA
rnacentral:rRNA from 1 species